rnacentral:misc_RNA from 1 species
GUGAGUCAUCGAAUCUUUGAACGCACAUUGCGCCCGCCAGCAUUCUGGCGGGCAUGCCUGUUCGAGCGUCAUUUCAACCCUCAGGCCCUGCCUGGCGUUGGAGGACUGCGCACGCAGCCUCCCAAAGCGAGCGGCGGCGGCGCCCCGAAACCGAACGCAGUAGUUACCUCUCGUUCUGGGUCCGGGUCGUUGUCCUGCCGGAAAACCCCCAUCUCAUCAAUGGUUGACCUCGAAUCAGGUAGGAAUACCCGCUGAACUUAAGCAUAUCAAUAAGCGGAGGA